rnacentral:tRNA from 1 species
GAAGGUAUAGCUCAGUUAUAGAGUACAUGCUUAGUAUGCACGAGGUCCUGAGUUCAAUCCCCAGGACCCUUG